ACUCAUUUUCUAUUAUCUUUCAUUAUCACUGUCGUCGUUAUGCUAUCGAUUCUUACAAUGAUAGUUCAUACAGUGCAGUGUUGGAGGUUGCUAACAGCUGGCGUGGAAUAUUAUUCAUUGCUCUCAACCAAUCAGAGGCUCAUCUUUGUCUAUGAAUGACGUCACGACUAUUGGUUGCAUAUGGUUUCACCUACAAAUCUAUGUAUUUUAAUGACUUUUAAACCUGUGGCUUCCAUGUAUCACGAUUCAUCAGCAUCUCGUGCACCGAUUCAAAAAAAUGACGUCACCAAUGCGGCAUUAGUGACUCAAAGAAUGCUGAGGGAAAAUAUCAAAUUCGAAAUCAACAAUCACGUAAAAGUAGACCUCGGACCUUGGCCUGCCGUGAGACCAGAUCGAAAGCCAUACAUUCCUCCUGGAACAUUGCCACCGGGUGCAUAAUGAUUGUGAAUUUCGACUAGAAUCAGUGAAGUGGAUAAAUUGCGGAAAAUUAUAGAUCGUUUUUUCCCUCUGUCCUCUUCUCUUUCUUCAUUUUUUCCGAUGUCAAAGCUGGAAUCUGCUGGUGGCUGAAAAUCCUAAAGCUACACCAAAUCCAGUCAAACAUUUACUAUUGAAAUGUUUUUAGAAGAUUUUAAAAACCGAUCAAAAAAAGUAAACAAAUAUUUCUGAGAAUAUCCGUAGAAAAUACUCAUUUACGGCAGGAGAGAAACUUUCAGCAUCUUCAAUCUCUUUCAACAUUGUGUGACCGUAAUUGGUGGGGCCGCGCUAACAUGCGUGUGGCCUACUUCUUGCUUUGAAGGGGUUAGCGAGUUCGUCCUUGUUACGGACCGAUGAAAGGAGAGUUGAUCCUACGGGUGAAAGAAUUUUGGAUUGGACUCAAUGGAUUUUGGAUUUACUCUACCUUUUUUACAUCUUUUGACAAUAACAGAAAAGAAAUGAUUACACAAGCAAAAUGAAAUGGAGAACAGGACACCCACUGAGACUAGGCCGUAUGCCAGGCUGAGGUCUACAAUUAAAGUCUAUUACAAUUCAACACAAAGAAUAAAUCUGAUUAAAAAUAUUAAAUUAAAAUGAGACUAGAUAGAAAGGAGAGGGUGGGCAAAUUAAAUCGGACCUAAUUAUAUAUCAUUGAGUAUGGAUGAGUUUACACCGUUUGUUGCUCAGCCGCAAAUAAAGAUUUCUUGUGCAUGCCUCCAUCGUAGUCCCCCCCCCCCCCCAAUUUGUUGAGAUAUUAGAUUACAGCUUUAAAUAUAAAGUAAAUUCCGUACAAGCUAGCAAGCAGUGAACUUAAAAUCACCAAAAUGACGUCGAGGCAGAAGUAUUCGAAGAGACUCGCAUCUGCAGAAGAUGGCCUUAAAUGAGUCGCCCCACCAUGCCGAGCAACGUGUUCUACCCAGAAAACAGCCUUGUCCAUUGCUUGAGCCGUGAAAUCAUGGAUUUGGUGGAGAGCUCUCGCAUGUUCCUCGGGUAGCUGGGAAAAAAUUAUUUAAUUAAAAUACUACUCUUAUCAUCAAUAGAUUUGUGAUAUCUAUAGGAAGAAUUAGGUUUUGCUACUGUAUCUAUGACACAAUUGAGCCGUAACACCCAAUGAAUAUGACAUACCUCACCAAAUCAUCAUGAGAUGGACAUUGGUUGUCACAUUGUAUACAUUUUUCCCCUUGUCACAUCGUAUAUAUUUCUCCCCAUGGCCCCCUAUCCCGGGGACAAUAUUGUAUCAGAAAAGUCUUAGGUUUAGGACUUAGUUAAGUCUUAGUCUUAGGUUUAGGAUCAAUCAUAUUGUAAUUAUUCUAAUUUCUAUGUACUGAGGGCAAAUGUUUCAAAAUAUGAAAAAAAGAAAAGAAAAUAAAAAAAAUUGGAAAUCAAACAUUAUCGCCGAGGCGACCAGAGUAUAGAACCGUUAGCUAUAAAGUGAUAGUGGCGUAGCUGGGAAUUCUUUAAGGGGGGGGGGGGGGUCCAUUCACCGGGGGGUCUGGGAGAUUCUUCUAAAAAAGUAAAAAUUGUGACAGAAACAGCAAAAUCAACCCUGCAUUAUUCAGAAACGUGCUGGUAAAUUAUAUGAUUUUGUGUACGUCUCUGAUAAUAUUUUAUGACUGCCCUCCAGAGGUAAAAAAAUGUACAAUUGACGAGGGUAAGGCAGGGGGGUCCAGACUUCCUAGACCCCCCUUGUCUACGCCACUGUAAAGUGACAUUGGCUAAGGGUGAUGAUAACUCGGUCCUUAAAACCUAAAAAUUUAUAUUUUAUACCAGAUCAUGGAAGAAUCUUCUAUGAAAAAUUUGAACAGAGUUAUAAAAAGUCAUAAAAAAUGUCAUGAAUGUCAUAACAAGUGACGAACCAGGGUCCAUCCUUGCGGGUGAGAAGGAUGACACCUAUAUGAAACUUGCGAUGGAAAAGGUAGGUAAUGUACCUACUUGUUCAUAACUGGGUGUACUCAUGCUAAAUAAAGCUAAAUCACACGCAAUCUCAUGCAAAUAGUUCCUUUUAGCGUGAUUAGCCCAUUCUUUUAUUAUACCAAUUUUUGGGAGUACAAGUAGAUGGUAGAGACUUCUUUAAUUUUCAGGCAUAUCCUGCACGAGGAAAAGAAUGGCACUAUCUUAACAGUAUUGCAAUGUUCAUAGUUCCGUGUUGCAAAAUGGGGGUCAUUUAAGCGUCUUUCCUACCUCCUUCACCCCAAUCCGACUUGACAAUAACAUAUUUACAUCGAUUGCCAAAAUA
rnacentral:lncRNA from 1 species